rnacentral:rRNA from 1 species
GGACAACCUAACCUAUGGAGGGGGAUAACCCCGGGAAACUGGGGAUAAUACCCCAUAGGCUAUGAAUGCUGGAAUGCUCUGUAGUUGAAAGGUCCGCCGCCAUAGGAUGGGUCUGCGGCCGAUUAGGUUGUUGUUGGGGUAACGGCCCAACAAGCCUGUAAUCGGUACGGGUUGUGGGAGCAAGAGCCCGGAGAUGGAUUCUGAGACACGAAUCCAGGCCCUACGGGGCGCAGCAGGCGCGAAAACUUUACAAUGCGGGAAACCGUGAUAAGGGAACUCCGAGUGCCCGUAAAAUCGGGCUGUCCAUCUGUGUAAAUAACAGGUGAAGAAAGGGCCGGGCAAGACCGGUGCCAGCCGCCGCGGUAAUACCGGCGGCUCGAGUGGUGGCCACUAUUACUGGGCUUAAAGCGUUCGUAGCUGGUCUGUUAAGUCUCUGGGGAAAUCUUCCGGCUUAACCGAUAGGCGUCUCAGGGAUACUGGCAGACUAGGGACCGGAAGAGGUGAGAGGUACUCCAGGGGUAGGAGUGAAAUCCUGUAAUCCUUGGGGGACCACCUGUGGCGAAGGCGCCUCACCAGGACGGCUCCGACAGUGAGGGACGAAAGCUGGGGGAGCAAACCGGAUUAGAUACCCGGGUAGUCCCAGCUGUAAACGAUGUGCGUUAGGUGUAUCGGUGACCACGAGUCACCGAGGUGCCGAAGAGAAAUCGUGAAACGUACCGCCUGGGAAGUACGGUCGCAAGGCUGAAACUUAA